AAUGCCGGAAUAUUUUUGGAUGAAACAUUGACGAGUUCUUUGAUUAUUCCAGUAGGGCAGUUCAACAAAAUUACAGAUACCCUUCUAAAGAGUAU